ensembl:lncRNA
GUGGUGGCACUCUCUAACGUGGCUGAAAAAGAACCACAGUUUCCUGGAUGAAAGACUACAUAUUUGGAGCUUCAGUCAGCCUUGCGUGGGAGACUGUGUGUGUCCACCUAUAUAGAAGUUUCUCUCUGUACAUACUGCAUGUGCGCUCUAAGUAUGUGUACAACUGGAGUUUUAUUAGUAUGGUUUCAGUGUCAUUGUAACUACUGGUUUUGACAUAGAGUAGGCAAGUUUGGAUGUAUGUGAGUGUAUGUAGUAUAUGGCUGUUUGGGUAUAUGUGAGUGUGUGUAUAUGGCUGUUUAGGGAUGUGUGAGUGUGUGUCCAUGGCUGUUUGGGUAUAUGUGAGUGUGUGUCUGUAGCUGUGACAUGGUACUUCCCACAUCUGGUUCCCAUUAGACUGUGGGUAUAAAAUGGAUUCCUGGCUAUACUGUGAUCACAGACACACUCUCAGCUAUGGAAGCCGCACUCUGGGUCUGUUUGUUCUGCUUGCAGAGCUGCUUACUUGCAGCGGGUCAGAACAGCAUAGAUAUGAGCAGGGACCUCACCAAAGACCAAGAUAUCAUGACACAGACUCGACUGAAAAGGGAAACUAACCUAAGCCAAACUGGAGCUAUUACAGUGAAGGGCAGCCCCAACUUACUCAUACAGGUUGACAGGUCAAGAAGACAUCUGUCCAAUAACAAGCGGAAGCUCAAGCGCAAAUCACGUGUCGGCUCCUUCUCGCUGCUUAGCAACAACAACCCUGCCGCUCCUUUGCAGGUCACUAGGGUGAAGAGAGACGACAGACAGGAAAGUGGGAGGACAACCAGAAGACAACUUGCAAAUAAGAAGCAUAACAAAAUGAUUUGGAAUGGAUUAGACAUGAAAAUAAAAAUGUAGGAAAGCACUAUAUUCAUGUGUAUGACAUCCCAAAGUGUCAUGAAGUAUAUACUCGAAGCACGCACUCUUACUGCAUUUAUUCUUUCAAACAAAGUUGAACUUUUACCACAAUUUAAUACUUUAGAUAUUGUGAUUUUUAGCAUAAUCUUAGUUAACAUUUAUGUAAGCCUAUUCAUAUGCAUUUUCCCAGGAACUUUCCUCUUGUACUGUAGUGUAAUGUAUUAUAAAUAUUUCUUAUGUAGUCAUCUAACUGUCCUGCUUCAUCUAGGUUUCUUCUGUGCCUAAAGAACACAUUUGGUGCAAGCCUCAUUGCUUAGUGAAAUUACUGAUGUUCUGUAUCACAGUCCCAGACCACUAUAAGAUAACAUUUCAUGCAAGAGUAUAACUCGCCUCUUAUCUUAAGUUAGAAAUCAUGUUGAAUAAUUAUAAGUUAUGUUCUGUGAAAGGAUGGUUAGUAAAUGCACUGCAUUUAUAAUUUUUUGGUUUUCUACUGAGGUGCAAACCCUUAGGAACUUGACCAAUUUAGCAACACACACACAAUUUGGAAGCAACCAUAUGUAACCUUUUUGUUUGUAGACCCCAUGACAUCAGAGUUAACUUUUCUGAGCUUUUAGCAUGUUAAGUUUUGAAUGGCACUGAAACAAAAGAUAUGUUAUUUCUUGAUAUUUGUGGUUAUAGUUCAUACUUUGCAGACUUUCUUGAAAAUUGAAUAAAGAGCAUAAUGAGUCAUCCUGCGGUCUGUCUUAAUAUCCAAGGAAACACUUUGUCUGUUCUAUUUGGCAAUAC